rnacentral:rRNA from 1 species
CUGGAUUUGACAUCCCGUGAACCUCGCCUAACAGCGAGGGUGCCCUUCGGGGAGCACGGUGACAGGUGCUGCAUGGCUGUCGUCAGCUCGUGUCGUGAGAUGUUCGGUCUAAGUCCGGCAACGAGCGCAACCCCUGUCCUUAGUUGCUACCACGUAAUGGUGGGCACUCUAAGGAGACUGCCGGAGUGAAUUCGUGAGGAAGGUGGGGAUGACGUCAAGUCCUCAUGGCCCUUAUAUCCAGGGCUACACACGUGCUACAAGGCCGGUACAAAGGGCAGCUAACUCGCGAGAGUGUGCCAAUCCCAUAAAGCCGGCCUCAGUUCGGAUUGCAGUCUGCAACUCGACCGCAUGAAGCUGGAAUCGCUAGUAAUCGUGGGUCAGCAUACCACGGUGAAUACGUUCCCGGGCC